AGUAGAUCAAAACAAAAUCAUAACAAUCGCAAGAGAGAAUCUCUCUCAAAACUGUUGAAAAAUAUUAGCAGCAUUUUUUUAGCACUUGCAGUUAGUGUAUUUGCUUGCGAAAAUGAAGAAGGUCGUGGUGCCACUAAUUGGACCACUAUUAGGUUGUUUCAGCCCGAACCGGAUUCCUACGAAAAGGGAAGCACUGCAAGUAAUAUUUUGCUACAAUUACGUGGAACACUAUUCUAUCCCAAAUAGCAUUAAAGAAGUGGCUAGCGUUAUUAUUGAGCUGGAAUAUGAAGGUCAUCGUAUCAAGCGCAAAGAUUUGGUCCAAGCGUGUCUGCAGCGUUUGUAUAAUGAGUGGAGGAAUAUUCAACGUUCAAAGAACAGGACUAAUCCAGCUACUGAAGAACGGCGCAAACAAUUCGAAAAAAGAUUGUCUGAUCGAUUACCCUGUAUUGUUCCAAUUUUAGAUACCACCAAAGGGGUCCAAGAAAUUAGUUAACAUAAUAGAAUAAGUGUCAUAUCAGAUCUAUUCAUCCUCAGAUAGCAGUAAAGGCACAGUAAUUACACAGACAAACAGACAUAACACUACGAACAUUUUUCGAUUCAAAUCAUAGUCCCGGAAACCUGUUCGCCCAAUACUAAAAGGACUGAGUUUGGCCGACCAUGAACUAGGUGGCGGUAGUGGGCAAACGUCAAACUCGAACAAAAACGAUGCGAGCGCCACGGGUGGGCAGUUGGCCAACUAUCAAAUCUUUAAAUAGACCGUUAAUUCGGUGUUCGAUGGGAAAUGUCAAAGUGUUACGUCUGUUUGUCUGUGGUAAUUAUAUACACACAAUAGGAUUUUUAAUAAUUUAAAUAUAUGCCAAAAUAACCUGUUUAA